UACAGAGGUCUCAAGCGUUGUUCGGAUUCAUUGGGCGUAAAGGGUGUGUAGGUGGCGCGAUGGAUGGUGAUUAACGUUGGAUCUAACUCCGAAACUGCAUUCAUACUGGCGUGCUUGAGGACUGGAGAGGAGACUGGAAUUAUGGUGUAGCAGUGAAAUGCGUAGAGAUCAUGAGGAAGACCAGUGGCGAAGGCGGGUCUCUGGACAGUUCCUGACACUGAGACACGAAGGCCAGGGGAGCAAACGGG
rnacentral:rRNA from 1 species